rnacentral:rRNA from 1 species
AAGAAAUUGAGUAUUCGAGUCCUAAGGAGCUACAUAUAUAGUAAAUGACUUAAGCUUAAUUGACUAUAUAAUAUGCUUGGUGUGAAUUGCAGAAUUUCGUGAACCAUCGAGUCUUUGAAUGUAAGUUGCGUUUGAAGCCAUUAGGUUGAGGGCACAUCUGCCUGGGCGUCA